GGGCCCGCACAAGCGGAGGAACAUGUGGUUUAAUUCGAUGAUACGCGAGGAACCUUACCUGGGCUUAAAUGGAGACUGACGCACUUUGAAAGGAGUGUUUCUUCGGACAGUUUCCAAGGUGCUGCAUGGUUGUCGUCAGCUCGUGCCGUGAGGUGUCGGGUUAAGUCCCAUAACGAGCGCAACCCUUACCGUUAGUUACCAUCAGGUCAAGCUGGGGACUCUAACGGGACUGCCACCGUAAGGUGCGAGGAAGGCGGGGAUGACGUCAAAUCAGCACGGCCCUUAUGUCCAGGGCUACACACGUGUUACAAUGGCCGGUACAAAGGGCAGCUACUCCGCAAGGAGAUGCUAAUCCGCAAAAGCCGGUCUCAGUUCGGAUCGAAGUCUGCAACCCGACUUCGUGAAGCUGGAUUCGCUAGUAAUCGCGCAUCAGCCAUGGCGCGGUGAAUACGUUCCCGGGCCUU
rnacentral:rRNA from 1 species